rnacentral:rRNA from 1 species
GACGAACGCUGGCGGCGUGCUUAAUACAUGCAAGUCGAACGGAUUGGCUCUGCUUUUGUGUUGUGCUCGAGUGGCGAACGGGUGAGUAACACGUGUGUAACCUCCCCUUGACUUUGGGAUAACUCCUGGAAACUCGGGCUCAUACCGGAUCUGAUCUCCUGUUGCUUGGUGUGCGUUGGUAAGUUUCGGUGGUUGGGGAUGGUCUCGCGGCUUAUCAGCUUGUUGGUGGGGUAGUGGCUUACCAAGGCUUUGACGGCUAGCCAGCCUGAGAGGGUGACCGGGCACAUAGGGACUAAGAAAGGGCCCAGACGGCAACGGGAGGCAGCGGUGGAAAAUAUUGCGCAAUGGGCGGAAGCCGGAUACAAGAACGCCGGGUGCGGGAAGACGGCCGUCGGGGAGUAAACCGCUUGCGCCUGUAAAGAAGAGAGAGUGACGGUAAUGAGUAAGAAAGCAACGGCUAACUACGUG